rnacentral:lncRNA from 1 species
ACUCACAACUCAUUCACUCUCUCACAUUACUAAUUCUCUCACCACUCUCAAAAAUCCAAAAAAAAAAGAAGAAAAAUCUCUCGUCUCUCUCUGCAAAACCCAGGGAAAGAGAAGAAAAAUCUCUCAUCCUCUCAUUCACUAUUCACGCCAUCUCAAUCUCUUCACCUUUCUCUCCGCCACCCAUUCAACAACUAAACCCCCAAACCGCUCACUCCGCCGUUCAUUUCAUCUUCAAAACUCGCCGUCUCUCUCAAUCGCCGCCGCUUUCGCCGCCGUGCCUUCAUCAUCUUCAUCGCAACACAACCACCGCCCUUAAACAAACCCCAUCACUCCUCACCGAAACAACCACCACCAUCAAAACCCUCACCGACGGAUUAAUCCGCCGUUACCCUUCAAUCGAUCUCUACCAACCUAUCCAAGCAUCUCUCUGUUUCAACCAAUUGACUCGCAACCAACCUGUUGCGAGUUAUCGCGGCUGGUUGUUGUUUAUAUUUAAACUGGUUACAAAUUGUUUUUUUAUUUUGCAGAACGAAAUCACGAUUUCAGUAUCAAAGAGUCUAAGAAGAGAAAAUCGAAGUGGAGAUAUCCGAUUUGGGACCGAAGUUGUGGAUUUCAGCGGCACCAAUUCGACAAUGUUUACGGUAAUGACGUUUGAAUUCCAUGAUUGAGUUGUUGAGAUCGUUAGUUAAAUGUUUAAUUUUCUGCGAACCUAGACUCGGGAUGUUGUUGCUAUUUCAUGUUGUGGCCAUGGAUACUGUUAUAAGAUCAUAAAUGUUAUACUCUUGGGAUGUUCCUGUCUUAAAAUUCUGGUUUUAUUGUUUUUAUAUAAAGACUGCUCUUGUCUUAAAGUUCUGGGUUUAUGUUGAUGUUAACAUUGAUUUUUUCUUCCAUUUGGAUCUUUGAUUUUCAGUGUGGUCAUAUUAUUUUGUGCUUCAAACUGGGAUUAUCAUGUAGAAAUUUGAGUAAAUACUUGAUAUUCAUUUUCAUGCCUAUGAAAGUUUUGUUUAUUAUUACUAUGUACAGGUUAUAGAAUAUUGGUUAUUAUUGCAAGUAAAUGUUGAGAUAUUGAGAACA